GAUGAACGCUGGCGGCGUGCCUAAUACAUGCAAGUCGAACGAAACUUCUUUAUCACCGAGUGCCUGCACUCACCGAUAAAGAGUUGAGUGGCGAACGGGUGGGUAACACGUGGGCAACCUGCCCAAAAGAGGGGGAUAACACUUGGAAACAGGUGCUAAUACCGCAUAACCAUAGUUACCGCAUGGUAACUAUGUAAAAGGUGGCUAUACUACCGCUUUUGGAUGGGCCCGCGGCGCAUUAGCUAGUUGGUAGGGUAAAGGCUUACCAAGGCAAUGAUGCGUAGCCGAAUUGAGAGGUUGAUCGGCCACAUUGGGACUGAGACACGGCCCAAACUCCUACGGGAGGCAGCAGUAGGGAAUCUUCCACAAUGGGCGAAAGCCUGAUGGAGCAACGCCGCGUGGGUGAAGAAGGUCUUCGGAUCGUAAAACCCUGUUGUUAGAGAAGAAAGUGCGUGAGAGUAACUGUUCACGUUUCGACGGUAUCUAACCAGAAAGCCACGGCUAACUACGUG
rnacentral:rRNA from 1 species